AUGAAGAUCCCAAUUCUACCGUUGAUCUGAAAAUCCUCCCUGACUGGGGCUAUGGCCGCGUCUAUUCUCACUGGUUUUAGUUGGUUCCUUGGAGGAAUCUUGGCCGUUGAUUUUAGUGAUAACGUCUUUAGGAGGGGACAGAGAGGAGGAGAUGGAGGAUCAUACCGGUACCAGCGGCAUAGAUGGCGAAGGUAGUAGAGUUAGCACUACUGUUACUGUUAUCCAUAGUGAUGGGCUUUUGAUGAAGAAGCAGAUUUUGGAAUUCCUUUUUUUUUUUUUUUUAGGGGCUGGAUUGGGGAGAUUUGACGGACUUUUUGAGCUUCUCCAUGUUAAAAAUGGUGGUUAUUCAAUCUAUAUAAACUCUAGUGAGUUCACAAAAAGGGGGGCUGUGUAUAUAUUAUAAUUAUUAGAAGAGACUGAUGAGCUGUUGAGCCAAAGGAUUAAAGAAAUAGCCCAGAAAUGCCUACAUUGGGUUUGGUGAAAAGGAGCAUGAAGACUGUAAGCUUUGGGCUGAAAACGCAAGGAAGCGAGAGAGAGGAGAUUUUACUGUUGCAUAGAUACAGAUUUGCAGCCAAAUGGAUGCUGUUCUUUGAUGUGGAUG
rnacentral:lncRNA from 1 species